rnacentral:rRNA from 1 species
UCAUCUGGGAGGACCACCAUUGCUGCGCUUUGCCUCGUCGCCCUGGUGGUGGCGGCAGCGUCUCUGCCGGCGGCGAGCGCCUACGAUUGCUACGAGCGCUGCGCCAACGGCAAGGAUGACCCCACCUGCACCAAGAUGUGCACCGAAGCCUCCAGCGCCCAGGGUGGCGUGGCGGCCAAGCCUGUCGGUGCGGCCGCCACUGCCGGGGUCGGUGCCGCAGCUUCGCCCCUUGACUCUGCCAACGACAAGUCCUUGGACGCCGCAUUCCAGAAGGCCGAUGCAGCCGCUGCCAAGACGCCCGCCAAAGCUUGA